rnacentral:lncRNA from 1 species
CCACCUGCAGAUGGUUUUGUGUGGUCCACCUGGUAUUUUCUUUUUAUGAAUUACUUGCCAACUUCUAAAAAUGAGAAGACUUCAGACAGAAACCAGAUUUUUGGCUUCUCUUUAAAGCUUAGAGGAUCUGGUGGCGCAGGCCUGUGUCCGGCGGUGGGGCUGAGAUGUGGCUUCCUCCAUGGCUGCCCCAGGCCCUCAAAUCCCCUGAGGCUGCUGCCCCGAAAUGAAGAACGCCAGCAGGACAGACAGACAGACGGGAAAGACGAGAAGAGAAGGGAAAAGACAAGAGAAACUAGCCAUUGACUUCGAAAUGUUCAACAAAAUUCACCAGGAGAAGCCCAGAAGCCCAGGCGGUCGCGCCUCCUAACCCCAAAUGCAUGGGGUCAAAGAAGUAAAGAAAUGGAUGCUGUUGCUUGAAACUAAGGCUUUGGUUCUUGAAUUAAAAAGCAAAUGGGCAGAAAAUAGAUUUAGGUUAUUUCGGGGCUCAGCACUGCCUGCCACUGUAAAAUGCUUUCAGAGAAAGCUGAGGACGGUGCUGGUGUUAAGGGGAGAGAUGGCCUCGCGUCAGAAUUUUCCAUGGUGACUGUGGCCGCGAGAGAUCAGGGCUAGACCAUGGUUAGUGUGGAAGCCAUGGCUCAUGGGGACCACACAGUGAAAGGGGAAAUGAGGACACUGACGAGUGUCCUCGCCGGAGGCUGCACAUGUACCAGGCCGGCCCUUACCGAGCCUCCCGAGGGCGCUGUGACGGCGGGACUGCUGUCUGCAUGGGACAUGGGAAGAUGGAAGAUCAAGAAGGGGCAACCUGCCUGAGGUCAAGAGCUGUAAGUGGCAGGACCCAGGCUGGGGCAGCACAGUUAGUGCCUAGGACAGCACAGAACCAGCGGAAAUGAAACCGUGGGAGCCGGGCUCAGGCCUGCGCUAGAAGACGCCGCGAGCAUUUUUCUCUUAGAACUUGACUCACGGAGGUGGAUUCUGGGAGGGUUUUCUCCUCCACUGGAUUUUUCUACAAAUUUCCGACUCACUCGCAGCUUCCUCAUAGCUCAGUUACCAUGUAGGGCCUUGCGCGAAGGUGCUUGACAUCAAUUUCGUAAAUGGAGAAAGCUAAUAGUCAGACCCAGGGGGGCUCCCAUGCUCUGUUUAAACGAUGCAGUGAGUUAAGAAUGUAUCAAGCUCAAUAACAUAUUUAACAUCAUUUCCCUAAAACAAUCACGAGCAAGAAGAAGCUGAAGAAAUGUUUAUGCAAUUCUCAGCACCAGAAGGCUACCUACAGAGCCGUGUGUUACCUUAAUUCAGAAGAUAAGGGGGAAAAACUACAGAGAUUAGAGUAAUUUUUAAAGGCAACACGUUGAUUUCUGUUUGUUUUUAUUUGUAUAAAGCACUAAGAAAGAUAAAUCCAAGUCCUAUAAAUAGCACCUGAAGUAGAGACUUUGGAUGGAUAAAAGUCUACUCUAAAGUUGUGUGUUGGGGAGAAUCUGAUCCAUGAAAUGUCGACUGGAGAAGCAGGAUCUCUGCUGUCCUUGGGGAGUCACCUUGCCGCAGGGACCAUGGUCAGGGCUAUGCAUUUGCAGUUGGUGGUUCGACCCCUGCAGACACUGUUGCAAAUCUCGCGUGGUGAGGACCCAGGCAGUCACCAUCAAGGACCAUCUCAGCUCGUCUGCACCAUCACUGUGAACAGCCUAGGGCUGGCCCCGGCCACUGCCCACACAAAGCUUAAAAGGAAAGGAUCACAGAAGAGUUUCCUUCCCCUUCUCAGGAUGAAAUUUUAAGCCUGCAAACUUUUUCUGUAAUCACCCACUUCCCUUUUAGACACUCGGCACUGUGCUUCUGAAACACACGUGAGGGAUGAGAGGCGUGAAACCGUGUUCACGUGUCCGGUGGGGCCAGAGCAUUCCCGGGUCUGUGUUUGGAUCUCACCGUGGUGUGCAGAUGGCACACGCCCUGCCUCAGGGCGACUGUUUCCUCGUGCCUCUGGGCAACCGUGUCAGGCCACACAAGAGACAGACCAUCAUGAUCAAACAGGAGUUUGGAAGCUACCGGAAGAACGAGGCCGCCGAUCUCCAUGGUGGGGGCGGUGUGGUGUGUGUUUCUCGGUCUCUGAGAGCUGCAGUUGCCUUCAGGAUGUGGGGGAUGUGCAUAUGUCCCUGGCUGAGGUGGAUUUCCUGUGGAUUCCCUGUGUGCUUUUGGGGGUACCUGCCAGCCCAGCUCACCCAGAUGGGACAGCCGUGGUCCCGUGCUCCCUCCCAAGGGCAAAAAAUCAACCCUGAGCCACGUCCGCAUGCAGUGGGGCAGGGUGGGUCCCUUCAAUUUUCUUCCUGGAGUGGGCAAAACACUCUGGGCACCUGGAGGACACCCACGCCCUCUACUCCAACACAGGCUCAGACAGACGCAGCGCGAAGCCUCUAGCUGCACCCUGGGCUGGUGAUUUGUUGAAAGCACAGUCCUGGAGAAGCCCCGCCCCGGAGAAGCCCCGCCCCGGAGAAGCCCCGCCCCGGAGAAGCCCCGCACCUGAGCACACCGGGAAGCAGCAGGAGUCGCUAACCCUCACGCAUCUGCACCAAGGUCACACCCAGAAGGCAAGUCCCUGCAACCCGCUCUCCUCCGAACGCCACACAAAGGGCUUCGGUGGAUUUCCUCAGUGGACGGGGAUGAAGAGGCGGAGAGUGGCUCGCGAUGGUCCUGUUCUUCUUUGGAUUCUUUGCUGAAACACCGCCGAUGCUGAGGUGUGCUGGCAGGACCCGUGGACUCGUCCACGAACUCAGGACGGUCCUGUUUAAGUCACUCUCCAAUUGCCUUAGCAAAAUUCCAAGAGAUUUUCUUUAACAAAUUUAUGGACAGAAAAACACUUUAUCUUCAUCUAGCAAGGCUUAUAGAGUGACAGAAACCCUAAGGAGAAGUGCAUGAAGCUCAUUUAGUUUCCAAAUCACAACAAGGGAAUACUAAUGCCCUCCCUCCAAUAUCCACAGUCCCACGCUGUGCAGGGAACGCAGGGAACGCGCGGGUUUUAUAAGAGCUGUGAGGCCAGCGUCUGCCGUGGGAUUGGGAGGGGAUGGCUAUCUGCCGGCGCCACCGCAUCACCCACAGGGACAGCCGCCGACAGCAUCAGCCUCUGCACCAGGGACUCCACAGCACACACUCCCGCCGAGCGGCCUGGGCUUCAGCCCAAAUCCCUCCGGGCCUUCGGGUGGUCCCCACGAACCAGCUUGCCCCUUCGCCAGGAGGCUAGGCCAGUGGCAGCUCUGCACCACCCGUGACCCCACGCCCACGUUCCUGGGCUCCAACCUGUCCUUACUUCCUGUUUUAAAAAAGAAAACUGUCCUCCUCUGAAGCCCAGGGCAGCACAGGCUCAAUUUCCUUUCUCCUAAACUGCGCCGGAGUGCCUGGCCUCUCUUUGGGUGAAGGCGUCUAACCAGGGCGCAUGGACCGCCUGAGGACAGGGUCUUCCCAGCAGGGAGGGCAGCGGGGCCGCCUGAGGACAGGGUCUUCCCAGCAGGGAGGGCAGCGGGGAAAAGGGGAUGCGUCCCGGGAGGUGGAUUUUCCUGCUGUGUUUACCAGGUGGUGUCUGUCCUCCAGGGUGUCCUGGGCCCUCCUUUCUAUGGUGCAGGGAUACGUGGCCUAGAGGGGUGGUUCUCCACGUGCAGUCCCCGGACUGAUGACCUCAGCAUCCCCUGGGAAUUUGCCAGAAAUGCAGAAUCUUGGGCCCCACCCCGACCUGCUGAAUCCGAAGUUCUGGGGGCGGGGUCCUGCACUCUGUGUUUCAGCAGCUUCUGAUGUGCAGGGAAGUUUCAGACCCGCUGGCCCGGAGGUUCUGCUGCUGACCAGCUAGACUCUCUCCCUUUGGAGCCUCUGCACCGAGAAUUCCCGAGUCUCUGGACCUCACCCUCGUGUGGCAGACAGCCCACGCCCUGCCCCAGGGCUCCUGAUUUCUCCUGCCUCUGAUGACAAACGUGGCCUGAUCAGGCAGUUCGGUUCCAGGCCGCCCAGCCCCGCUUAGCCCAUGGCAGAAGAAUAGGCCAGGGUUGCCCCUGUCUGCACAGCAUGGUUCCAGAUUACACAGUGGGGAUAACACGUUUCUCCUAAAGACAGUUUGCCCAUCAGAAGCCUUCUUCACCACAGCCAACCCUCAACACCAACAUCAAAGAGCCGUCCAAACGCUGCUUUCA